GUUAAAAAGCUCGUAGUUGGAUUUCUGUCAGGUGAGGUUCAGUCCGCCCAAGUGGUUGGUACGUGAUCCGCCACCGGCAUCUUCCUGGGGAAUGUGUCUGCUCUUAAUUGGGUGGUACAUAAGCCAGGACUUUUACUUUGAAGAAAUGAGAGUGUUUCAAGCAGGCAUGCGCCGUGAAUACGUUAGCAUGGGAUAAUAGCAUCGGACCUCGUUCCAAAGCUGUUGGUUUCUUGGACCGAGGUAAAGGUGAAUAGGGAUUGUUGGGGGCAUUCGUAUUUGACUGACAGAGGUGAAAUUCUGGAUUUGU
rnacentral:rRNA from 1 species